CCAAGAUCAGUCUCACUGGGCUAAAACCAGGACUGGUUCUUUCUGGAAUCUCUAGAGGAAAAUCCAAUUCCUUGCAUUUUCCAGCUUCAAGAGGCUGCCUGCAUUCCUUGAGGAUUCUGGAGGAAGCCUCCCAACUUACUUGGAGUAACCAUGAGUCCUCUGUCUCUCUGGCAUGUGAUGAUUUUGCUCCAUGAUUACAGUGAUCUGAUAUCUGAACCCGAAAUGGAGAGACAGUUUAGUAUAUAAGGUUUUCUGAUGGGUGUUAGAGAUGAGAAGAAUCAUGAGGAACUUGGAAAUCAUCGUUCUACCUUUCUUGCCCAGCUCGACAUACACAAUAAGACCAUUUCUAUUUGACAACGUGAUGUAGCCACAAAGAGGCAACCUUAACCUUGGGGCAGCCCUGGUGGCUCAGAGGUUUAGCACCACCUUCAGUCCAGAGCAUUAUCCUGGAGUCCCAGGAUCAAGUCCCACGUCGGGUUCCCUGCAUGGAGCCUGCUUCUC